UGAGCGCGUCGCAAGGCGCGUGACCGCGGCGCGGAAGUCAGCAGAGGGCGUAGUAGGCCUGCGUAUCGGCUGAAGGCC
rnacentral:ncRNA from 1 species